rnacentral:rRNA from 1 species
AUUGAACGCUGGCGGCAGGCCUAACACAUGCAAGUCGAACGGCAGCACAGAAGAGCUUGCUCUUUGGGUGGCGAGUGGCGGACGGGUGAGUAAUGUCUGGGAAACUGCCCGAUGGAGGGGGAUAACUACUGGAAACGGUAGCUAAUACCGCAUAACGUCGCAAGGCCAAAGUGGGGGACCUUCGGGCCUCACACCAUCGGAUGUGCCCAGAUGGGAUUAGCUAGUAGGUGGGGUAAUGGCUCACCUAGGCGCCGAUCCCUAGCUGGUCUGAGAGGAUGACCAGCCACACUGGAACUGAGACACGGUCCAGACUCCUACGGGAGGCAGCAGUGGGGAAUAUUGCACAAUGGGCGCAAGCCUGAUGCAGCCAUGCCGCGUGUAUGAAGAAGGCCUUCGGGUUGUAAAGUACUUUCAGCGGGGAGGAAGGCGGUGAGGUUAAUAACCUUGCCGAUUGACGUUACCCGCAGAAGAAGCACCGGCUAACUCCGUGCCAGCCGCCGCCGUAAAAC